UGGGGAAUAUUGCACAAUGGACGGAAGUCUGAUGCAGCAACGCCGCGUGCGGGAUGACGGCCUUCGGGUUGUAAACCGCUUUUUCUCAUGACGAAGUUUUUUGACGGUAGUGGGGGAAGAAGCACCGGCUAACUACGUGCCAGCAGCCGCGGUGAUACGUAGGGUGCGAGCGUUGUCCGGAAUUAUUGGGCGUAAAGAGCUUGUAGGCGGUUUGUCGCGUCGAUAGUGCAAACUCAGUGCUUAACGCUGAGGCUGCUGUUGAUACGGGCAGACUAGAGGAAGGUAGGGGAGAAUGGAAUUCCCGGUGGAGCGGUGGAAUGCGCAGAUAUCGGGAGGAACACCGGUGGAGAAGGCGGUUCUCUGGGCCUUUCCUGACGCUGAGAAGCGAAAGCGUGGGGAGCGAACAGG
rnacentral:rRNA from 1 species